UCACCCCAGAAGCCCCCUCUGAAUCAUGAGCUGGCUCUCUGAGAGAGUGUUGGCAGGACUGGGCAGAAGGCUGCCCGGACUUGCCAGCAUUUCUGACAGUGUGACCAAGAAUUAUUAGAAGAGCUACCAUAGCUGUAUGUCUCAUCACUUCCUUUAAAAAGUGUUGAGAUGACAACUCAAAGUGCUUCCACACAUGAGGCCCUGUCUGAGAGACACGAGAACCUAGAAGAAGACCUCCAACACAGGAACCCCCCCCGAACCCCACGCCAGUCUUGGGUGCUUGUCUGUGGGACCCUAGGCUUUCUGCUUCUUUUAACUUGAAAUGAAAGAUGGACGAAGACUGUGCAUUGGUGAACUUUCUGUUUUGAAGUAAUACUCUACAUGUCAGAGGCCUAUUAUGUAACUAUUCAAAGGGAUUGCUGUCCAAGUAACCAUCUCUUUCGUUCAAGGAACAGCCAAACAACUUCAGCAAGAGAAGAACAAGGUAACAUAGCUGUGUUUGCAAGAGACAUUAAAAUAUCAAGUACGAAAAGCACGAAGCGGGACAGACAGUGUUUCCCAUUCCUCUUCCCAAACAAAGGAAGAAUAUUUUGAGAGGCCUGUAACCUUUGGCUGACACCCAGCGAGGCCAUUAGUUUAGGCAUGGGAUGCACUACAAAACACACGAGAAUCAACAGAACUUCUUUUCUGGAAAGUUGAUUGUAAGAAUAGUUUUGUUAUAAAGAUUUCAAAAACAGAUGGAAUGGACAAAGGGGAAUAAAAAGAGACAAGCGUAAGAAAACUUAUCGACUUCCGUUGGUUGGCAUAGCUUCAGCUCCUAGUGUCUCUUCAGCCAUAUGCUCAAGAUGGAAACCGCAGUUCACAUCUAAAUGUCAUGCUGCCCUCUGUUCCAUAAACAUGUAUCAUCCAUCACUAAAUAUUUAGAUCUGAAUUGUUGGAGCUGAGCUCUGUGCCAGGGGUAGGGGGAUUAAUUCCUUUCAAGGUCCUCACAUGAUGGAUUUUCCACUGAAGUAAACAUCCGAGAAGAGCUCACAC